GUUAAACCUGCUUGCUUUUACUGUAUUUAAUUAUAACAUACUUAUUUCUAAUCUCAAAAAUCAUAAAGAAAUUUCAUUCCCCUGAUAAUAUUAUCAGCUAAAUGUUUAAAAAUCAUGAGCAUCUUUAGUCAGCUGUGCCACCCUUAAGUUGCCACCUAGAACCUUGGUCAUGAAAUAACUGCACAGAUCUUCUAGCAACAAUAGUAGGGGCAGCAAGACAUUUAGAACUAGAAAAACUAAACAGCCACAUCUAUGAGGAACAAACAGAUUAACAUUUUCAACAAUAGAACCUCAUCAACUUUUGUUGAAGUACCAUAAAUAAGAGUUUGACCCAAGCACCAAAAUUUACAGCCCCAUUAGACCUCAGGACUUCAGGUACAAAUAUAAGCAAAAUAAAAAGAUACUGUGCAAUUAGAGAAAAUAUACCAUGAUCGUCUGCUAUAACUUCGCU